GACGAACCGUGCGAACGUUGUUCGGAAUCACUGGGCUUAAAGGGCGCGUAGGCGGGCUGCCAAGUCCGCGGUGAAAUCCCUCGGCUCAACCCGGGGAACUGCCGCGGAUACUGGAAGUCUCGAGGGAGGUAGGGGCAUGCGGAACUGCGGGUGGGGCGGUGAAGUGACGUUGAUAUCGCAGGAACUCCGGUGGCGAAGGCGGCGUGCUGGACCUCUUCUGACGCUGAGGCGCGAAAGCCAGGGGAGCGAACAGG
rnacentral:rRNA from 1 species